rnacentral:rRNA from 1 species
GAUGAACGCUGGCGGCGUGCCUAACACAUGCAAGUCGAACGAAGCACCUUGCCUGAUUCUUCGGAUGAAGGUCUGGUGACUGAGUGGCGGACGGGUGAGUAACGCGUGGGUAACCUGCCCUGUACAGGGGGAUAACAGUUGGAAACGGCUGCUAAUACCGCAUAAGCGCACGAGAGGACAUCCUCUUGUGUGAAAAACUCCGGUGGUACAGGAUGGGCCCGCGUCUGAUUAGCUGGUUGGCAGGGUAACGGCCUACCAAGGCGACGAUCAGUAGCCGGUCUGAGAGGAUGAACGGCCACAUUGGAACUGAGACACGGUCCAAACUCCUACGGGAGGCAGCAGUGGGGAAUAUUGCACAAUGGGGGAAACCCUGAUGCAGCAACGCCGCGUGAGUGAAGAAGUAUUUCGGUAUGUAAAGCUCUAUCAGCAGGGAAGAUAAUGACGGUACCUGACUAAGAAGCUCCGGCUAAAUACGUGCCAGCCGCCGCAGUAACAC